AGCGGCGGAUGGGUGAGUAACACGUGGGGAACCUGCCCCUAAGUCUGGGAUACCAUUUGGAAACAGGUGCUAAUACCGGAUAAUAAAGCAGAUCGCAUGAUCAGCUUUUGAAAGGCGGCGUAAGCUGUCGCUAAGGGAUGGCCCCGCGGUGCAUUAGCUAGUUGGUAAGGUAACGGCUUACCAAGGCGACGAUGCAUAGCCGAGUUGAGAGACUGAUCGGCCACAUUGGGACUGAGACACGGCCCAAACUCCUACGGGAGGCAGCAGUAGGGAAUCUUCCACAAUGGACGCAAGUCUGAUGGAGCAACGCCGCGUGAGUGAAGAAGGUUUUCGGAUCGUAAAGCUCUGUUGUUGGUGAAGAAGGAUAGAGGUAGUAACUGGCCUUUAUUUGACGGUAAUCAACCAGAAAGUCACGGCUAACUACGUGCCAGCAGCCGCGGUAAUACGUAGGUGGCAAGCGUUGUCCGGAUUUAUUGGGCGUAAAGCGAGCGCAGGCGGAAAAAUAAGUCUAAUGUGAAAGCCCUCGGCUUAACCGAGGAACUGCAUCGGAAACUGUUUUUCUUGAGUGCAGAAGAGGAGAGUGGGACUCCAUGUGUAGCGGUGGAAUGCGUAGAUAUAUGGAAGAACACCAGUGGCGAAAGGCGGCUCUCUGGUCUGCAACUGACGCUGAGGCUCGAAAGCAUGGGUAGCGAACAGGAUUAGAUACCCUGGUAGUCCAUGCCGUAACGAUGAGUGCUAAGUGU
rnacentral:rRNA from 1 species